UAUGUCGAUGAUGACUUCAUAGACCUGUUCCAAAUGCGGAGAUGAUCGGAACAAAGAACAUCUAAGGUGCUGAGACUUU